AGGCGGGCGACUAGCGCGGCAGCCGGAGGGCAUCCCGCCCCGCCCGGGACCCCGGGAAGCAAGAGUAAUUUCAAGGCAGGCCCAGCAGUGACGACUUGGAAACCCAUCUUAAGAUGUCUCAGGUGUCAGUUUUCCCCUCCUCCUCUUAUUCAAGCUCACACCCCUUAUGCCCUCUCCUACCAG